UACGGAGGGGGCUAGCGUUGUUCGGAAUUACUGGGUGUAAAGGGUUCGUAGGCGGUGCGGCAAGUUGGGAGUGAAAUCUCUGGGCUUAACCCAGAGGCUGCUUUCAAAACUGCUGUGCUUGAGUGUGAGAGAGGCUCGUGGAAUUGCAGGUGUAGCGGUGAAAUGCGUAGAUAUCUGCAGGAACACCCGUGGCGAAAGCGGCGAGCUGGAUCACUACUGACGCUGAGGAACGAAAGCUAGGGGAGCAAACAGG
rnacentral:rRNA from 1 species